GAUAAACGCUGGCGGCGUGCCUUAUGCAUGCAAGUCGAACGGGUCACCUUUGGUGACCAGUGGCAAACGGGUGAGUAACGCGUAAGUAACCUGUCCUUAAGUAGGGGAUAACUCUGAGAAAUUGGAGCUAAUACCUUAUGUGGUGAUGGAGGUAAGGCCCCAUCACUAAAGCCCUAGGGUGCUUAAGGAGGAGCUUGCGCCCGAUUAGCUAGUUGGUAGGGUAAUGGCUUACCAAGGCAACGAUCGGUAGCUGGUUUGAGAGGAUGUCCAGCCACACUGGGAUUGAGAUACGGCCCAGACUCCUACGGGAGGCAGCAGCAAGGAAUAUUGUGCAAUGGGCGAAAGCCUGACACAGCGACGUCGCGUGGGGGAUGAAGGCCUUCGGGUUGUAAACCCCUUUUCUCAGGGAAGAAUAAUGACGGUACCUGAGGAAUAAGUCUCGGCUAACUACGUGCCAGCAGCCGCGGUAAUACGUAGGAGGCUAGCGUUAUCCGGAUUUACUGGGCGUAAAGAGGGCGUAGGCGGCUUUUCAAGUCGGAUGUGAAAUCUCCCGGCUUAACAGGGAGGGAUAAUCCGAUACUGUUGGGCUAGAGGGCAGCAGAGGGAGGUGGAAUUCCCGGUGUAGUGGUGAAAUGCAUAGAUAUCGGGAGGAACACCAGUGGCGAAGGCGGCCUCCUGGGCUGUUUCUGACGCUGAGGCCCGAAAGCGUGGGGAGCGAACAGAAUUAGAUACUCUGGUAGUCCACGCUGUAAACGAUGGACACUAGGUAUGGGGAGUAUCGACCCUCUCUGUGCCGAAGCUAACGCAUUAAGUGUCCCGCCUGGGGACUACGGCCGCAAGGCUA
rnacentral:rRNA from 1 species